rnacentral:rRNA from 1 species
GGGGGGGGGGGGGGGGGGGGGGGGGGGGGGGGGGGCGGGGGAAGGGAGGAGGGGGGUGCUUCGCUGAUGUUAGCGGCGGGCGGGGGAGUAAAACGUGGGUAACCUACCUAUAAGGCUGGGAUACCUUCGGGAAGCCGGAGCUAAGGCGGGAUACUAUUUUGAACCGCAUGGUUCAAGAGUGACAGACGGUCUUUCUGUCACUUAUCGAUGGAUCCGCGCUGCAUUAGCUAGUUGGUAAGGUAACGGCUUACCAAGGGCACGAUGCAUAGCCGACCUGAGAGGGUGAUCGGCCACACUGGAACUGAGACACGGUCCAGACUCCUACGGGAGGCAGCAGUAGGGAAUCUUCCGCAAUGGGCGAAAGCCUGACGGAGCAACGCCGCGUGAGUGAUGAAGGUCUUCGGAUCGUAAAACUCUGUUAUUAGGGAAGAACAUAUGUGUAAGUAACUGUGCACAUCUUGACGGUACCUAAUCAGAAAGCCACGGCUAACUACGUG